GUCUACGAUCAUACCACGUUGAAAGCACCGCAUACCGCUUGAUAUGCGAAGUUAAGCAACGUUGGGCUGUCGUCAGUACCAGAAUAAGAGACGGUUGGGAACACGCAGUGUCGUAGACA
rfam:Trichinella nativa scaffold280s, whole genome shotgun sequence.